CGGGUGAAUAAUGCAUCGGAACGUAUCCCGUAGUGGGGGACAACCCAGCGAAAGUUGGGCUAAUACCGCAUACGCUCUACGGAGGAAAGUGGGGGACUUCGCAAGGAGCCUCACGCUAGGGGCGCGGCCGGUGUCCGAUUAGCUGGUUGGUGGGGUAAUGGCUCACCAAGGCGACGAUCGGUAGCUGGUCUGAGAGGAUGAUCAGCCACACUGGGACUGAGACACGGCCCAUACUCCUACGGGAGGCAGCAGUGGGGAAUUUUGGACAAUGGGGGCAACCCUGAUCCAGCCAUGCCGCGUGAGUGAAGAAGGCCUUCGGGUUGUAAAGCUCUUUUGGUCGGGAAGAAAAGGCAUCUCCUAAUACGGGGUGCUCUUGACGGUACCGGCAGAAUAAGCACCGGCUAACUACGUGCCAGCAGCCGCGGUAAUACGUAGGGUGCGAGCGUUAAUCGGAAUUACUGGGCGUAAAGCGUGCGCAGGCGGUUCGUUAUGUCUGUCGUGAAAGCCCCGGGCUCAACCUGGGAAUGGCGAUGGAAACUGGCGGGCUGGAGUGUGGCAGAGGGGGGUGGAAUUCCGCGUGUAGCAGUGAAAUGCGUAGAGAUGCGGAGGAACAUCGAUGGCGAAGGCAGCCCCCUGGGCUGACACUGACGCUCAGGCUCGAAAGCGUGGGGAGCAAACAUGAUUAGAUACCCUGGGAAUCCACGCCCUAAACGAUGAUAACUGGGUGUUGGGGGAUCAAUUUCUCAG
rnacentral:rRNA from 1 species